rnacentral:tRNA from 1 species
GGGUAUAGCUCAGUGGUAGAGCACAUGCUUGGCAUGCAUGAAGUCCUGAGUUCAAUCCCCAGUACUUCCA